AAAGCAGAUGGUAAUGGCUCCAUACCCUGUCCACCAAAGCAAUAUGGGGGCUGCAGUUCCUCGGUCUUAUCAUUGAAACGAAUCUUCAAGAUGAAUUGGGUCGCGAAACUGGUGAAAAAUGUUGAAGAAAUGGUUAGUGGAUGUAAAGUAUGUGAUUCUGGCGAUCUAGAGAAUAUGUCUGAAGGGAAGUUGUUCCAAGCUGCUCAUAGAGAAAAUGGGGAUGAUAACAUUUUGUACCAUCCAUUAUCUGAAGAUAUUAGAAGUGAAGGGAUCGAGGACUUCAGAAAGCAAUGGAGUAGAGGUAAACCUGUUAUCAUCAAGGAUAUAUAUGAUGUAUCAUCAAUGUCAAACUGGGAUCCCAUUGAGAUAUG
rnacentral:misc_RNA from 1 species